rnacentral:rRNA from 1 species
CUACGGGGGGCUGCAGUGGGGAAUAUUGGACAAUGGGGGAAACCCUGAUCCAGCAAUGCCGCGUGUGUGAAGAAGGCCUGCGGGUUGUAAAGCACUUUCGGUUGGGAGGACUGCUUCUAGCACUAAUAUUGUUGGAAGUUGACGUUACCUUCAGAAGAAGCACCGGCUAACUCCGUGCCAGCAGCCGCGGUAAACGGAGGGUGCAAGGGUUAAGCGGACUUACUGGGCGUAAAGCGCGCGUAGGCGGCUAGAUCAGUCGGGUGUGAAAGCCCCGGGCUUAACCGGGGAACUGCAUCCGAUACUGUCUAGCUUGAGUACAGGAGAGGAGAGUGGAAUUCCACAUGUAGCGGUGACAUGCGUAGAUAUGUGGAGGAACACCAAUGGCGAAGGCAGCUCUCUGGCCUGAUACUGACGCUGAGGUGCGAAAGCGUGGGGAGCAAACAGGAUUAGAUACCCGCGUAGUC